rnacentral:rRNA from 1 species
AAUCAACGCUGGCGGCGUGCCUAACACAUGCAAGUCGAACGCGAGAGCCCCGCAAGGGGCAAGUAGAGUGGCAAACGGGUGAGUAACACGUGGGUGACCUGCCUUCGAGCGGGGGAUAACGUCCCGAAAGGGACGCUAAUACCGCAUAACAUCCUGCCUUUGAAGAGGUGGAGAUCAAAGCUGGGGAUCGCAAGACCCGGCACUUGAAGAGGGGCCCGCGCCUGAUUAGCUAGUUGGUGGGGUAAUGGCCUACCAAGGCAACGAUCAGUAUCCGGCCUGAGAGGGCGGACGGACACACUGGGACUGAGACACGGCCCAGACUCCUACGGGAGGCAGCAGUGGGGAAUUGUUCGCAAUGGGCGCAAGCCUGACGACGCAACGCCGCGUGGAGGAUGAAGAUUUUCGGAUCGUAAACUCCUGUCGAAUGGGACGAAAAGAUAACGGGUUAACAG